rnacentral:rRNA from 1 species
AACGAACACUGGCGGCGUGGAUUAGGCAUGCAAGUCGAGCGGGAUUGGUUUUUUUCAAUUCUUCGGAAGAGAAGCUGACCAUGAGAGCGGCGAACGGGUGGGUAAUAAAUGGGUAAUUUGCCUUGAAAUUCGGGAUAGCCAUUCGAAAGAGUGGGUAAUACCGAAUGUGUUCGGGUCUCGCAUGAGACCUUAUAUAAAGGUGGGGAUUCUUCGGAACCUGCCGCUUCUAGAUAAGCCCAUAUCCUAUCAGCUUGUUGGUGAGGUAAUGGCUCACCAAGGCUUACGGGUAGCCGACCUGAGAGGGUGACCGGCCACACUGGGACUGAGAACUGCCCAG